UACGUAGGGAGCGAGCGUUGUCCGGAUUCAUUGGGCGUAAAGCGCUUUAAGGCGGUUCGCUAAGUCGGGUGUGAAACCUCCAGGCUCAACCUGGAGACGCCACUCGAUACUGGCGUGACUAGAGUUCGGUAGGGGAUCACGGAAUUCCUGGUGUAGCGGUGAAAUGCGUAGAUAUCUGGAGGAACACCGGUGGCGAAGGCGGCGUUCUGGACUGCAACUGACACUGAGGAACGAAAGCCAGGGGAGCAAACGGG
rnacentral:rRNA from 1 species